rnacentral:misc_RNA from 1 species
AUCACGCAACGAUGACUCUUUUCAACAAAUCAUAAAGACAUUGGUACCCUAUAUUUUAUCUUCGGAGCAUGAGCAGGCAUAGUAGGGACUUCAUUAAGACUGGUAAUUCGUGCUGAAUUAGGUCAACCAGGAAGCCUCAUUGGUGACGAUCAAAUCUACAAUGUAGUUGUAACCGCCCACGCUUUUGUUAUAAUUUUCUUCAUAGUUAUACCCAUUAUAAUUGGAGGCUUUGGAAACUGACUUGUACCACUUAUACUAGGAGCUCCAGAUAUAGCAUUUCCCCGUAUGAACAAUAUAAGAUUUUGACUUCUUCCUUUUUCUUUAACAUUAUUAUUAACAAGAGGAAUAGUAGAAAGUGGAGUAGGAACUGGAUGAACUGUCUACCCUCCACUCUCAGCAGCAAUUGCUCACGCAGGUGCUUCCGUUGACUUAGGAAUUUUCUCGCUUCAUCUGGCUGGGGUCUCAUCUAUUUUGGGUGCAGUAAAUUUUAUGACAACUGCCAUUAAUAUACGAAGAAAAGGUAUAACAAUAGACCGAAUACCCUUAUUUGUGUGAUCAGUAUUUAUUACAGCAGUUCUUUUACUACUCUCGCUUCCUGUUUUAGCAGGAGCUAUUACUAUACUCUUAACAGAUCGAAAUUUAAAUACUUCAUUCUUCGAUCCAGCUGGAGGUGGAGACCCAGUUCUUUACCAACAUUUAUUCUGGUUUUUUGGACAUCCUGAAGUUUACAUUCUUAUUCUUCCUGCUUUUGGUAUAAUCUCCCACAUUGUAACACAAGAAUCCGGGAAAAAAGAAGCCUUUGGAACUCUAGGAAUAAUUUAUGCUAUGAUAGCAAUUGGAAUUCUUGGCUUCGUUGUUUGAGCACACCACAUAUUUACUGUAGGAAUGGAUGUAGACACUCGAGCUUAUUUUACUUCUGCAACAAUAAUUAUUGCAGUUCCUACAGGAAUUAAAAUUUUUAGAUGAUUAGGCACCCUUCAAGGUACCCAAAUCAAUUACAGUCCAUCACUUCUCUGAGCUCUUGGUUUUAUUUUUCUCUUUACAGUUGGUGGUCUUACAGGAGUAGUUCUUGCUAAUUCAUCUAUUGAUAUUAUUCUUCAUGACACAUAUUAUGUUGUUGCUCACUUUCAUUACGUUCUAUCUAUAGGUGCAGUUUUUGGCAUCUUUGCAGGAAUUGCUCACUGAUUCCCUCUAUUUACGGGCUUAUCUAUAAAUCCUAAAUGAUCAAAAAUUCACUUUUUAACUAUAUUUACAGGAGUAAAUAUCACUUUCUUCCCACAACAUUUCUUAGGAUUAAAUGGAAUACCACGACGAUACUCUGACUAUCCUGACGCAUUCACCGCAUGAAAUGUUCUAUCUUCAAUUGGAUCAAUAAUUUCUCUUGUAGCCGUUCUUAGAUUCAUCAUUAUUGUAUGAGAGGCUUUAGUAGUUAAACGAACAGUUAUAUUUUCUUUAUUCUUACCUACUUCGAUUGAAUGACAGCAUGCUUAUCCCCCAGCUGACCACAGUUAUAUAGAAAUCCCUAUAAUCACUAACU